GUGGAGGCAGCAGUAAGGAAUUUUCGUCAAUGGGGGAAACCCUGAACGAGCGACGCCGCGUGAGGGACGAAGGCCUUCGGGCUGUAAACCUCUGUCUUCGGGGACGAUAAUGACGGUACCCGAGGAGGAAGCCACGGCUAACUACGUGCCAGCAGCCGCGGUAAGACGUAGGUGGCGAGCGUUGUCCGGAAUUACUGGGCGUAAAGGGCGUGUAGGCGGCCUUUUAAGUCAGGCGUGAAAUCCCUGGGCUUAACCUAGGGACUGCGUUUGAAACUGGAGGGCUUGAGGACAGGAGAGGAAAGCGGAAUUCCCAGUGUAGCGGUGAAAUGCGUAGAUAUUGGGAGGAACACCAGUGGCGAAGGCGGCUUUCUGGACUGUCCCUGACGCUGAGGCGCGAAAGCCAGGGGAGCGAACGGGAUUAGAUACCCCUGUAGUCA
rnacentral:rRNA from 1 species